AACGAACGCUGGCGGCAUGCCUAACACAUGCAAGUCGAACGAGACCUUCGGGUCUAGUGGCGCACGGGUGCGUAACGCGUGGGAACCUGCCCUUAGGUUCGGAAUAACUCCCCGAAAGGGGUGCUAAUACCGGAUAAUGUCUUCGGACCAAAGAUUUAUCGCCUUUGGAUGGGCCCGCGUUGGAUUAGCUAGUUGGUAUGGUAAAAGCCUACCAAGGCGACGAUCCAUAGCUGGUCUGAGAGGAUGAUCAGCCACACUGGGACUGAGACACGGCCCAGACUCCUACGGGAGGCAGCAGUGGGGAAUAUUGGAAAAUGGGCGAAAGCCUGAUCCAGCAAUGCCGCGUGAGUGAUGAAGGCCUUAGGGUUGUAAAGCUCUUUUAACCGGGAUGAUAAUGACAGUACCGGGAGAAUAAGCGCCGGCUAACUCCGUG
rnacentral:rRNA from 1 species